GAGAGAGGUUGUGUUUAUUGUGUUCCUUCAUAGUUUUCUCAUUUUAUUUUUAGUUCAAGAUCGUAUUGGUGCCUCAUCUAAUUUAUUGUUUUGCAGUAAAUGGAUUCAGGAUGAAGUAUGAAGAAAUACAAGAGACAGACACACAUCGGUCGCAGCGUACAAUAACAACAGCUUAUACCCGGUUAAUGACAAUCAAGACAUUGAAGAGGACAAUAUACUGCAAUCUAAGGGCCCAGUUCUGUGUGAUGUGAACUUUUUAUUAAAGUGAAACUUUUAUUACAUCGUCUCAAACUUUUUCGUCUGUGUGUUGCAUGUCGAGUGACGAUCGGGCGGCGCCUAUAGUUCUCAGCAGCUGACCGUGUAGUGUAUAGACUAUUUAUUACUCAUUUGUGCCAG